rnacentral:tRNA from 1 species
UCCCUGGUAGCCUAGUGGUUAAGGAUUCAGCAUUGUCACUGGUGUGGCUUGGGUUCAAUCCCUAGUCUGGGAA